CCAGAACUCAAUUUGUAGACCAGGCUGGCCUUGAAUUGAUAGAGAUCCGCCUGCUUCUGCCUCCUGAGUGCUAGGAU
rnacentral:miRNA from 1 species